rnacentral:tRNA from 1 species
UGGCUCAGGUGGUAAAGAACCUGCCUGCAAUGCAGGAGGCCCAGGUUCGAUUCCUGG